rnacentral:rRNA from 1 species
GACGAACGCUGGCGGCGUGCUUAACACAUGCAAGUCGAACGGAAAGGCCCUGCUUUUGUGGGGUGCUCGAGUGGCGCACGGGUGAGUAACACGUGAGUAACCUGCCCUUGACUUUGGGAUAACUUCAGGAAACAGGGGCUAAUACCGGAUAGGAGCUCCUGCUGCAUGGUGGGGGUUGGAAAGUUUCGGCGGUUGGGGAUGGACUCGCGGCUUAUCAGCUUGUUGGUGGGGUAGUGGAUUACCAAGGCUUUGACGGGUAGCCGGCCUGAGAGGGUGACCGGCGACAAUGGGACUGAGAGAGGGCGCAGACGCCUACGGGAGGCAGCAGUGGAGAGUAUUGCACAGCGGCCGGAAGCCUGAGGCGGCGACGCCGGGUGCGGGAUGCCGGCCUUCGGGUGGUAAACCGCUUUCGACUGUGACGAAGCGGUAGUGACGGUAAUGGGUAAAGAAGCACCGGCUAACUACGUG